GUCACUUUGCCGGAGUGGUUAACGGGAUCGCCUGCUAACAGCUAAGCGGUUGGGCUUUGCCCGCGAGUGUUCGAAUCGCUCAGGUGACG
rfam:Paxillus rubicundulus Ve08.2h10 scaffold_20_c2, whole genome shotgun sequence.